GACCUUUUAGUAUAGUUUUUGUACACCUGACUUCCAAUCAGGUAGUUUCGAGGUUA
rnacentral:tRNA from 1 species